UCAAUUCGCUGAGUGGCUUCAAGCAAGAGGACAGUCAAAGCUGUUUGAGAGAACUAAACAGAAUAGAGAAUUACAGAGUGCUUCAGACUCACUUUUCCAAUGCUGCUAGUGAUGUAACCAGGGAUUCUACAGAAAGAGCAAAAUACAAGGGACUCCAUGAUGUUCUCACCUCUGUGUCCUUUGUGUUUAAUCUGGGAUUUAUGUAUGAUGCCUUAACAGAACUCAGUGAUUUCUCAAGGAUGCUCCAAAAAAGAGACACUACUCUGCCUGAAACAGAGAAGCUGCUGUUUCGACAGGUACGAGUGUUUGAGUCCAUGGUUUCAACACCUGGCCCCCACACGCAAACUGUUCUUCAAGCAGAAAUGAAGAAAACUUUCCAGAAUGUACCCCUGCAUGAUAAUCAAAAGAUUGUGAGGAUCAAUGCAGGACAAUUCUUUCACAGCAUGGCCGAAAACAUGAAAUCCAGGACAGCUACAACAACUUCCUCUCAUGUCAGUACACAUGAAAGCUUAUCUCAUAGAGGUGAAAGCAAACUGAUGACAGACUUAAAGGUUCUUCAGCUGGACACUUGGCCUGAGGGAAAUCUGGACAUACAGCAUGCCUCUGCCUCACUAAGCCAAGGAGAUGUGUUGAUGAAAGAUCUACCUGUGGCCAUUCAGUUCAACCCCACAACAUGAUUGUGCCAUUUCUGGAUUGAUAUGUAAAGAGCACCAUUGCAGACCUGAUGUCUAAGGACUUCCAUCGUCUCUCUCUUACACACACACACACACACACACACACACACACACACACACACACACUUAUCAGAU
rnacentral:lncRNA from 1 species